GGGGGGGGGAUACCUGAGAUAGGACUUAGAGGAAGACGGGUCAGAUUUUUACAGGGAAGGAGGGCAGGGCCGAGGGGCAGUGGAGGAAGGAGGAAGAAGAGACUUGGAAAGCCUUGCACUUUGGGAACCAAAGGCCUUUGGGAGCAUGCGUCCAGCCCCUUGGGAGCAGUGGGGCCCUGCCUCGGUGUCCCACAAGUGAGGCGGUAAUCGUGGCAGUGGCUGACACUGGGCGGGGUCUGCUGGUUCACUCUGCCCAGGCCUGACUUUGUCCCUUUAAGGCCUUCUACAAAGGGUCUCUAUGGCAGAGCUUUUCGUGUUCCCAGCCCCAGCAGCCUCCCUAUUGGCCCCAGGGUGCCCCAAUAAUGUCAGCAUUUUCUGUGUGCGCCAUGAUGUGAAUGAAACCGGUUAGAGUCAUCAGAGACUGAGGUGUCCAAAUCUAAGGCUUCCUUCCAGCUCUUGGUUCCUGUGACUCCCAAACCCUUAGGGUGGAGCUAAGAGCAGAGAUGGAAGAAGUACAAGAGGAGAGGAAACUGGCCUGUUGACCGCGGAGACUGGCUCACAAGCCCCCAAACUACUAGGGGUUUUGUACAACACUGGUCCUUUGGCCUCUCAGUGGGUCAGAGUCCACCUCUCCUGGUAGCCUGGCUAGGACUGAGACCCCGGAAUGGGGACGUCUUCUCAGCCAGCACAGCUCACACCAGAACUCAUCCUACCUGGGGCUCCCCAAAGGAGCCCGCUUCCUAUUCCAGCUCCACCUGGAAAGUAGAGCAGGAACAAGGAGAAAAGGACUGAGUGCUACAGGGAGACGAUGUCUCCUUCGGACCUUGGUUUGCCCGUCUGUGAAAUGGGUGGUUAGAUUAGACGGUCCCUGAGGCCCCUUCCGUGGCUGACAGGCAGCACCAAGAGCAUUAGCCAAUUAACCCAGUCCCCUCCCUAGAUUGAUUUUGGUAACUUCUACCUUUGAAACCAUUCAAAGAUGCCCCAUUCCUAGGACAGAAGCACAACCGUUCUGAACUGAUUGAAGCAUGGGCUCAACUCCAGUCUGCCCUUUGGCCUCAGCCCCAAGCCAUGGCCAACCAGCCCUCCCCCAACCCACACCCCUCUGACAGAGCUCGCUAAGAACAGGACAGGAGAGAAAUCAGCCCUUCCUUCCCGUCUCUGGGCCUUCAUCUGCAAAAUGUGGGGGAAGCGAGGCUGAUCACGUGAGCGCCAAAGCCCUCUCCUUCAGGGGCCAUCCUUCUGGGACUCACCAAGCUCUUGGGGCCUGGGCCACAGCAGGCUGCCUGCGGAGGGGCUCCACUGGAGAUUCAGGCUGUCAUGUGAUAUUUGGUGGUGUGUGUUCUUGUGUGUUUGUUGGUUACAUGUGUCUUGAAAUUUAGAAUCAUUUCGCACAGAACUGUCGCUAUUUGUCGGGAAGCAAAACUGGGCUAGGAGAAGCCCAGUCCUAGGUUCUUGCCCUGUUACCAUUUAAAAUUGACAUUUAAUUUUUCAAAUCACUGUUGGUGCCUAAUCACUUAAGUUAUUAAUUUAUUCUGUUUUCUUUAAAAAAAAAAUUUGUAACACGUAUUUAUCCUGUGAGUAGGUCUGGGGUGGGGGGGGAACAUGUUCAACUGGGUCCUGUUUUUGCUGUGGUGACACAUGGUACAGACCUGGAGCUUACAGGUCCCUUUUUACUGUGGUGUUGGAGCAGGACAAUAAUAAAGUCCAUUAGAAGCAACCAGAGAAGACUGUUGGAGUCUGCCUCAUCAGAAGCAGCUGGGGGUGGAAGCCACAAAUUUGAAUCCCAGCCUGGGGGCUGUCCAUGUGUAGGCUUAAACACUUUUUUUUAAGAUUGGCCCUGAGCUAACUACUGCCAGUCCUCCUCUUUUUGCUGAGGAAGACUGGCCCUGAGCUAACAUCCGUGCCCCUCUUCCUCUACUUUAUAUGUGGGACGCCUAUCACAGCAUGGCUUUUGCCAAGCAGUGCCAUGUCCGCACCCGGGAUCCGACCAAGCAAACCCCGGGCCACAGAAGCGGAACGUACGAACUUAACUGCUGCACCACCGGGCCAGCCCCAUAAACACAUUCUUGACAAGAAAAUCAUCUCUCUCGUGGUCCCAGAAGGCAAUGUGCCAGUCUACUCCACUUUCAUCUUAAUAGAAAAUCAUUGGGUACUUUUCUUGGCUGGGAGCAGGAGUGACUCCUCCUUACCUUGGAAUCUGUAUUCCAGAUGUGUAGCAUGGGAAUUGCAGUAACAUCUGUCAGUUCAUCUCAGAAGGUGUACUGGACUGGGACUGUAGAGCGUGACUUGGUCUCUGACAGACUAUCGGCCCACUUUCGCUGGUCCCUAAGGUCUGACAUGUCAAGGGUCUAUGACGUUUGGGCCAAAACUCAACUCCUCCACCUUUAGCACAGGCAGGCAGCCCCUGGCCACACCACUGUCACCGCCUGCCUCCACACC
rnacentral:lncRNA from 1 species